UACAGAGGGUGCGAGCGUUAAUCGGAAUUACUGGGCUUAAAGGGCGCGUAGGCGGCUUACCAAGUCAGGGGUGAAAUUUUGCGGCUUAACCGUAACAGUGCCUUUGAUACUGGUAGGCUCGAGGGAGGUAGGGGUUCGCGGAACUUCUGGUGGAGCGGUGAAAUGCGUUGAUAUCGGGAGGAACACCGGUGGCGAAGGCGGUUCUCUGGGCCUGACCUGACGCUGAGGAGCGAAAGCGUGGGGAGCGAACAGG
rnacentral:rRNA from 1 species